GCAACUAACUUAUCAAUACAAACAAAACAAAAUCAAUACAUUUGCGGCGUUGUUUUCAUUGUCUCUUUUGUUUUACUUUGAAUUUGAAAGAUAAUUAUAUGUUUAAGCAAAAAAAUUAAUUAGCCAGUGCUUCUUGUAUUGUUCAUUUGUGGACGACAUGACCAGGCGGCAGGACAAUGGCCUGCCCGCAAUCCGCAACCAAGAAAUUGAAAGUAUUGAUGAUCGGAUUCACGCAACUUUAGUACUAAGAGCCAAGCUUUUAAUGCUCCAGGCUCAAAUUCACAAACUCCGAAUCAAGAAGAAAAGGUUGGGUCUCAUGUAAGCAGUUGUUGAUUAUGUUCUGUUUAUUUGGAUAGUAUAACAAGGUGGAUUCAUUGCUGGCUGGAAUAUCUGGUGUAAAAAUAAUGUAUUGUAACCAUCAUAAAUUUAUUGUUACUUUCUUCUUUAUAAAUAUAUAUAUAUAUUGAACAUAGAGGCACAUGACAGUUUAGUACCUACCAAGUAUCCAAACAUGAAUAAUUAUAACCAAGUCGAACAGACUUGACCAUUUUAGAAUAAAAAUAAAGAAUGUGGGAUGGUAAUGAACUCGCGAGAACAUCAACAGCUUAAAUGUAAUAUCAAUAGUGAAAAUUAAUAAAAUAAGAACAAAUUAUACUACAAGUCUACUAUCUACUACAAGUGUUAAGUUACACAUUUACCAAACCUAACAAUUUUUAUAGUAACUAUGGGUUCUAAGCCUUCAAUCGUCUUGGUGUGGUGUACUGUGAUACAAAUAUUGUUGAUAUUAGAAAUAAUUAAAAAAGGCCACUUGAGUUGCCUUGUACUGAAUGGAGUAUGUGAUACACUUCGGCAUAUACAUAAAUAUUACUUGAACUGAAAAAGGGAUGUUGCAAUUUUGUAAAAUUUCCCUUCAUAAAAAAAAGAAAGAAAUUUUUGUAAAAUUUUCCUUCAUAAGAAAAAGAAAGAAACUAGGAAAUUUACUGCCUUUUGUUGUUCUUCCAGUGUGUGUGAAUUGUCAUACCAAUUUAACUAUUAUAUUACAUUCAGUUUAUGAUUUGUAUUUACAAUUGUUAUAAUUUGGCAGUAUUUCUUAAUGAAAUAUCUGCCUAUCUUAUUAGCAAGUAAAUAGUCGUGUCAAAAUAAAUACACUAAAUGAAUGGGAGAGAUAAAAUGUAAUCAAUCCAAAUAUAUGUGGAUGGCAUACAUAUUAGAUUUUUAUUUUAAUGAAUGUAAUCAUUUAACGUGAUAUAUUACUAGUUAGAAAUAGACAUUUGUUAUUGUUUUAUAUAAUCAUAGCACUUUACGUUUCUGGACCUAGUACAUGUUUAUUGAUCUGAUUAAAUUAUUGAUGUGAUA